rnacentral:rRNA from 1 species
GUGGGGAAUCUUGCGCAAUGGGCGAAAGCCUGACGCAGCCAUGCCGCGUGAAUGAUGAAGGUCUUAGGAUUGUAAAAUUCUUUCACCGGGGACGAUAAUGACGGUACCCGGAGAAGAAGCUCCGGCUAACUUCGUGCCAGCAGCCGCGGUAAUACGAAGGGGGCUAGCGUUGCUCGGACUUACUGGGCGUAAAGGGCGCGUAGGCGGACAGCUUAGUCAGAGGUGAAAGCCCAGGGCUCAACCUUGGAAUUGCCUUUGAUACUGGCUGUCUUGAGUUUGGGAGAGGUGAGUGGAACUCCGAGUGUAGAGGUGAAAUUCGUAGAUAUUCGGAAGAACACCAGUGGCGAAGGCGACUCACUGGCCCAAUACUGACGCUGAGGCGCGAAAGCGUGGGGAGCAAACAGGAUUAGAUACCCUGGUAGUCC